AGUGAACGCUGGCGGUAGGCCUAACACAUGCAAGUCGAACGGCAGCACAGUAAGAGCUUGCUCUUACGGGUGGCGAGUGGCGGACGGGUGAGGAAUACAUCGGAAUCUACUUUUUCGUGGGGGAUAACGUAGGGAAACUUACGUUAAUACCGCAUACGACCUACGGGUGAAAGCAGGGGAACUUCGGACCUUGCGCGAUUGAAUGAGCCGAUGUCGGAUUAGCUAGUUGGCGGGGUAAAUGCCCACCAAGGCGACGAUCCGUAGCUGGUCUGAGAGGAUGAUCAGCCACACUGGAACUGAGACACGGUCCAGACUCCUACGGGAGGCAGCAGUGGGGAAUAUUGGACAAUGGGCGCAAGCCUGAUCCAGCCAUACCGCGUGGGUGAAGAAGGCCUUCGGGUUGUAAAGCCCUUUUGUUGGGAAAGAAAAGCAGCAGGUUAAUACCCCGCUGUUCUGACGGUACCCAAAGAAUAAGCACCGGCUAACUUCGUG
rnacentral:rRNA from 1 species